UACGUAGGGGGCAAGCGUUGUCCGGAUUUAUUGGGCGUAAAGAGCGUGUAGGCGGCCAGGUAGGUCUGCUGUGAAAACUCGAGGCUCAACCUCGAGAUGUCGGCGGAAACCAUCUGGCUAGAGUCCGGAAGAGGAAAGUGGAAUUCCUGGUGUAGCGGUGAAAUGCGUAGAGAUCCGGAGGAACACCAAAGGCGAAGGCAGUGUCCUGGGGAGUACCUGACGCUCAGGUGCGAAAGCCAGGGGAGCGAACGGG
rnacentral:rRNA from 1 species